GGGGUCGACGACAUAGUGGGUCGUAUUAUUAUCCAAAAGAACGACCUGGAGGAGGAUGAGAGCGUUACUGCUGCACACCUAAAAGUCAAGGGGGAGAAGCCUGAGGAAGAUUGACCAGUUUUGUAAUUCUAGAAACAUGGUCCAUGGAUCAGUGACAUUCAGGGAUGUGGCCAUUGACUUCUCUCAGGAGGAGUGGGAGUGCCUGCAGCCUGAUCAGAGGACCUUGUACAGGGAUGUGAUGUUGGAGAACUACAGCCACCUGAUCUCACUGGGAAGUUCCAUUUCUAAACCAGAUGUGAUUACGUUACUAGAGCAAGAGAAAGAGCCCUGGAUGGUUGUAAGGAAAGAAACAAGCAGACGGUAUCCAGGGGAGAAGCCCGAGGAAGAUUGACCAAUUUUGUAAUUCUAGAAACAUGGUCCACGGAUCAGUGACAUUCAGGGAUGUGGCCAUCGACUUCUCUC
rnacentral:sRNA from 1 species